rnacentral:rRNA from 1 species
AUGGUAUGAUGAGAUUGCAUGAUAGCAUCAUUAAAGAUUUAUCGGUGUACGAUGGGGAUGCGUUCCAUUAGGUAGUAGGCGGGGUAACGGCCCACCUAGCCAACGAUGGAUAGGGGUUCUGAGAGGAAGGUCCCCCACAUUGGAACUGAGACACGGUCCAAACUCCUACGGGAGGCAGCAGUGAGGAAUAUUGGUCAAUGGACGAGAGUCUGAACCAGCCAAGUAGCGUGCAGGAUGACGGCCCUAUGGGUUGUAAACUGCUUUUAUAAGGGAAUAAAGUGAGUCUCGUGAGAUUUUUUGCAUGUACCUUAUGAAUAAGGACCGGCUAAUUCCGUGCCAGCAGCCGCGGUAAUACGGAAGGUCCGGGCGUUAUCCGGAUUUAUUGGGUUUAAAGGGAGCGUAGGCCGGAGAUUAAGCGUGUUGUGAAAUGUAGAUGCUCAACAUCUGCACUGCAGCGCGAACUGGUUUCCUUGAGUACGCACAAAGUGGGCGGAAUUCGUGGUGUAGCGGUGAAAUGCUUAGAUAUCACGAAGAACUCCGAUUGCGAAGGCAGCUCACUGGAGCGCAACUGACGCUGAAGCUCGAAAGUGCGGGUAUCGAACAGGAUUAGAUACCCUGGUAGUC